AAUGUGCCCUUUGUACAUGCACACACUAUACUCACCUAUCUAUAUUCAAUAUAUAAAUUUAACUUACUAGCAACAAAAAAAUUGUUUAUUUUUAAAAAGCUUUAACAUAUAUAACUAUACAAAUAGUUCACUUUUAAGUUUUGUUAUUAACUCUACAUAAACUUGUAAUUUAAUUUCAUAAUGCUCUUCUUUAAUUUGGAGGAAUAAAAGAAUUAAUUUCCUGUGUACCUUGUUAUACGAAAUUUGAUUUUCUAACAAAUCGGGUGUAAAUGAAAUAUGACGUCACGAUGUAAUUAUUGUCUGCUUUACAAGUGAAUCUAUAAAUCUUUGCACAAAAUAAUGUACCAUUUAUUGAUGUAGAUGAAUAAAAUAUUUGUCAAAAUU
rnacentral:misc_RNA from 1 species